GACACCGACUCCUCGGCAAUGGAUAUCUCGGCUCUCGCAUCGAUGAAGAGCGCAGCGAAAUGCGAUACUUG
rnacentral:rRNA from 1 species